rnacentral:rRNA from 1 species
UACGUAGGGGGCGAGCGUUGUCCGGAUUUACUGGGCGUAAAGCGCGUGUAGGCGGCUUCUUAAGUGGGGUGUGAAAGCCCGGGGCUCAACCCCGGAGCGCCGCCCCAGACUGGGAGGCUUGAGGUCGGAAGAGGGGAGUGGAAUUCCAGGUGUAGCGGUGAAAUGCGUAGAGAUCUGGAGGAACACCCGUGGCGAAGGCGGCUCCCUGGUCCGAUUCUGACGCUGAGACGCGAAAGCGCGGGGAGCGAACGGG